rnacentral:tRNA from 1 species
GAAGGUAUCGCUUAAAUGGCUGAGUGCAUGCUUAGCAUGCAUGAGGUCCUGGGUUCAAUUCCCAGUACCUCCU